rnacentral:rRNA from 1 species
UACGUAGGCAGCGAGCGUUGUUCGGAAUUACUGGGCGUAAAGAGUGUGUAGGCGGUGCUCUAAGUUCGGUGUGAAAUCUCCUGGCUUAACUGGGAGGGUGCGCCGGAAACUGGGGUGCUCGAGCGUGGGAGAGGAAAGCGGAAUUCCUGGUGUAGCGGUGAAAUGCGUAGAUAUCAGGAGGAACACCUGUGGCGAAGGCGGCUUCCUGGUCUGCGACUGACGCUGUGGCGCGAAAGCUAGGGGAGCAAACGGG